rnacentral:misc_RNA from 1 species
GAAAAGAAAAGAAAAAAAAAAUUAAUCAAAAGUCCUUCUUCUUCUCAAAGGACGUCUCCCAUUUCUCUCUCCCUCUCCAUUGUUAAACCUCCAUGGAAGCUUAUUCUCAAGCUUCAUACACCACAAUUUAACCAUAAAUUCCCCUAAAGUCCUUAAGUAAAUCUUACCCCUAGACCUAGAUAAACACUUUGGGAGCAAGAAGGAAAAGAAAACUUGGAGAAUUGAAGAAUUAGGAAAUCUACAAAUUGAGGUAAGUGCAAUUUCAAGUUUAGAUUCUUAUUGAAUUCAUGAAUUUAAGUUUAUGUGUGAUGAAAUUGCAUUAGAAAUAAAGGAAAUCAUGCUUAAAUAAGGGAAGAGAGAAUGAGGCAGCCAUAGAACCUUAAGGUUUUGAUGGUAUUUAGUUAGGUUAAACAUGAAAUC